rnacentral:rRNA from 1 species
UACGUAGGGACCGAGCGUUGUCCGGAAUCAUUGGGCGUAAAGAGCGUGUAGGCGGCCACUUAAGUCUUGCGUGAAAUCUUGCGGCUCAACCGCAAGCGGUCGUGGGAAACUGGGUGGCUAGAGUGCGGGAGAGGAGAGUGGAAUUCCUGGUGUAGCGGUGGAAUGCGCAGAUAUCAGGAAGAACACCCGUGGCGAAGGCGGCUUUCUGGUCUGUAACUGACGCUGAGGCGCGAAAGCGUGGGGAGCAAACAGG